rnacentral:rRNA from 1 species
UAGGGAAUCUUCGGCAAUGGGGGGAACCCUGACCGAGCAACGCCGCGUGAGUGAAGAAGGUUUUCGGAUCGUAAAGCUCUGUUGUUAAGGAAGAACGAGUGUGAAAAUGGAAAGUUCAUACUGUGACGGUACUUAACCAGAAAGGGACGGCUAACUACGUGCCAGCAGCCGCGGUAAUACGUAGGUCCCGAGCGUUGUCCGGAUUUAUUGGGCGUAAAGCGAGCGCAGGCGGUUAGAAAAGUCUGAAGUGAAAGGCAGUGGCUCAACCAUUGUAGGCUUUGGAAACUGUUUAACUUGGGUGCAGAAGGGGAGAGUGGAAUUCCAUGUGUAGCGGUGAAAUGCGUAGAUAUAUGGAGGAACACCGGUGGCGAAAGCGGCUCUCUGGUCUGUAACUGACGCUGAGGCUCGAAAGCGUGGGGAGCGAACAGGAUUAGAUACCCUGGUAGUCCACGCCGUAAACGAUGAGUGCUAGGUGUUAGGUCCUUUCCGGGACUUAGUGCCGCAGCUAACGCAUUAAGCACUCCGCCUGGGGAGUACGACCGCAAGGUU